AGAGUUUGAUCCUGGCUCAGAACGUACGCUGGCGGCACGCCUAACACAUGCAAGUCGAACGAAGUAGCAAUACUUAGUGGCAGACGGGUGAGUAACAUGUGGGUAUCUACCCUUUGGCCUGGAAUAACACGAGGAAACUUGUGCUAAUACCGGAUAAGUCUUUACGGAGAAAGCUUUAUGCACCAUUGGAGGAGCCCGCACUUGAUUAGUUUGUUGGUAGGGUAAUGGCCUACCAAGACUAUGAUCAAUAGCUGAUUUGAGAGGAUGAUCAGCCACAUUGGGACUGAGACACGGCCCAAACUCCUACGGGAGGCAGCAGUGGGGAAUCUUGCACAAUGGAGGAAACUCUGAUGCAGCGAUGCCGCGUGAGUGAAGAAGGCCUUUGGGUUGUAAAGCUCUUUCGUCGGGGAAGAAAAUGACUGUACCCGAAUAAGAAGGUCCGGCUAACUUCGUGCCAGCAGCCGCGGUAAUACGAAGGGACCUAGCGUAGUUCGGAAUUACUGGGCUUAAAGAGUUCGUAGGUGGUUGAAAAAGUUGGUGGUGAAAUCCCAGAGCUUAACUCUGGAACUGCCAUCAAAACUUUUCAGCUAGAGUAUGAUAGAGGAAAGCAGAAUUUCUAGUGUAGAGGUGAAAUUCGUAGAUAUUAGAAAGAAUACCCAUUGCGAAGGCAGCUUUCUGGAUCAUUACUGACACUGAGGAACGAAAGCAUGGGUAGCGAAGAGGAUUAGAUACCCUCGUAGUCCAUGCCCUAAACGAUGUGUGUUAGACGUUGGAAAAUU
rnacentral:rRNA from 1 species